rnacentral:rRNA from 1 species
AGUGAACGUUGGCGGCGUGGAUUAGGCAUGCAAGUCGAGCGAGAACCGUAGCAAUACGGGGACAGCGGCGAAAGGGACAGUAAUGUGUAGGUACCUACCCCGAGGUCUGGGAUAGCUGCGGGAAACCGCAGGUAAUACCGGAUAAUGUCUUCGGACCAAAGGUGUGAUUCCACCUUGGGAGGGGCCUGCAUCCUAUUAGCUUGUUGGCGGGGUAACGGCCCACCAAGGCGACGAUGGGUGGCGGGUGUGAGAGCACGACCCGCGUCAUUGGGACUGAGCCACUGCCCAGACCCCGCCGGGUGGCUGCAGUCGAGGGUCUUCGGGAAUGGGCGCAAGCCUGACCGAGCGACGCCGCGUGCGGGAUGAAGGCCUUCGGGUUGUAAACCGCUGUCGUAGGGGAGGAAAUGCAGGUGGGUUCUCCCUCCUGUUUGACCCAUCCUAGGAGGAAGUACGGGCUAAGUUCGUGCCAGCAGCCGCCGUAACAC